UUCGAAUUGUCUCCGCCGAUGCCAAAAUAUUGUUUAAUACGGUGGCCGGGAAGUGCAAACCAACAUUACAAAAUGUGAAACACGUUUAUACCUUUGAGACAAAUUUUGGAAAACAUUUUACAUAUCAUAAAACAAAAUUACAUUACCAAAACAAAUUUACAAGUCCCGAAACAAUUCUUUCUCAUUUCAGAAAACAAAUUAACACCACGCGAAACACUUUUACAAACGCCGAAACAAAUUUACAAGUGGCGAAACACUUUAACAUUUUCCAAGAAUCAACCGGAAAGGGAAUGUACCAUCUCCGGGUUUGGACCGGAAGUGAUAAAGAGGAGCGGCCAAUACGAAUCGUUGUUGUUUAUGGAGUUCACGGUCAUCCAAGAUGGACAGCGAAAGAGUGAAGUUUUGCCCGUUCUGUGGACAACAUAUGGGCCGCUUAACGCGGUUUUGUUUUUCGUGCGGUCAGUCUUUAGUGUUUUUAAAUAGUGUGGCGCAGUCGGAACGACCAGAUAUGCUGCAGCAGUGCGUAAGAUAUUUUAAUGAGGGACACUCGCACGCCGCAAACUUCGUGGACCUGGACACCCGUUUGGCUACCGCAUGGUGUGGCAGGUAUUCAAACAAAAGUACACGAGUGAAGAGGGAUCACGUGAUGAAUUUGCUCCGGGAGCUCAAUCCUCGACGGUGUGAUAGGAGAGCGUGCAGAAGGUUUGUCGGAAGAACAUACCACUCAAUGGGACCUAACUAUAUGUGGCACGCAGAUGGUUAUGAUAAACUCAAGUCAUUCGGUUUGGCUCUUUCGGGCUGUAUCGAUGGAUUUUCACGUAAAGUUUUGUGGCUUGCAUGUGGACCGAGAAAUAAUGACCGAAGUGUGUUCGCCCACUAUUUUCUGCUUGUGUGCGAAACCUUGGAGUCACUCCCAUGAGGCCGAGGACUGAUUUCGGCACGGAGAACGGGAUCAUGGCUGCGAUUCAGUGCACCCUACGCCACCACCACAAACUGCCACUCUGGAGUUUCCAGCCACAUGUAUGGCUCAUCCACAAGCAAGGAUUCAAGGAGCUUUAUUCUCAUUUCACACAUGUAGAAACAUGUGAGGUGGAACAAAAUUAGUUUCCCCAAUCCCGGUAUAAGCCCAAUAACCUAACAAAAUACCGAACAACCAGAGGAUCAGAAAGGGAAGGUGUCAGUUUUGGGUGGAGCCAUUUGCAGACCUUAGAGAUGCCAGAUACUUCAGUGGAAGUAGGAGGACCUGGAUGAGUGUGUGAGACUGUGGCUCAGUCACAGGAUUCAGAACAGCAUCAUGUCCAGGAGGGAUGCCCAAUGAGCUCUACUACUUACCACACAGGUUUGGCUCCAGAGACUGUGGAUUUAAAAUUGAACAGGCUGAACUGGAUGUCUUUCCUGAUACUCGCCUGACAAGAGCUCCAUGUGGGGACGCAAACAUGCAGGAGUACGUCAACUUAGCCAUGGAGCACAAUCAUUUACAGAACCCAGAGUACUGGCAGUCUGUAACUGAACUGAAUCUAAGAGUAAAAGAAAUUGCUCAAAUGUGAAUGGAAGAGAGGUUUAUUGUAAUAGUGGAACAUGUACACAAAGUGUGUGAAUUUGUCACCUACAGCUUAAUUAUUUCAAAGAGGGAAACAUGAAUGGAAAAAAAAAGCAAAGUAAUGAGCAGUUAUUACAUUUUUGUACAGAGAACAAAAUCUCUUGAAAUGCUUGUUGUUGUUUUUUUCAUUCUAAAUCUAAAACAGUGAUUCAUAAACAGACAACAGUUUGAGAAUCGUGGAUCUAAAACAACUGACUGAGCAAAAAUGCUUACAUACUUUUAACAUUUUAAAAACCUCUUUAACAAAAGCUACUGCACAUUUAGGUGCACCAAUGACAACAGCAACAAAAACCAAACAAGGUUU